rnacentral:rRNA from 1 species
AUGAACGCUAGCUACAGGCUUAACACAUGCAAGUCGAGGGGAAACGACAUCGAAAGCUUGCUUUUGAUGGGCGUCGACCGGCGCACGGGUGAGUAACGCGUAUCCAACCUGCCCACCACUUGGGAAUAACCUUGCGAAAGUAAGACUAAUACCCAAUGAUAUCUCUAGAAGACAUCUGAAAGAGAUUAAAGAUUUAUCGGUGAUGGAUGGGGAUGCGUCUGAUUAGCUUGUUGGCGGGGUAACGGCCCACCAAGGCAACGAUCAGUAGGGGUUCUGAGAGGAAGGUCCCCCACAUUGGAACUGAGACACGGUCCAAACUCCUACGGGAGGCAGCAGUGAGGAAUAUUGGUCAAUGGACGAGAGUCUGAACCAGCCAAGUAGCGUGCAGGAAGACGGCCCUAUGGGUUGUAAACUGCUUUUAUAAGGGAAUAAAGUGAGAGUCGUGACUCUUUUUGCAUGUACCUUAUGAAUAAGGACCGGCUAAUUCCGUGCCAGCAGCCGCGGUAAUACGGAAGGUCCGGGCGUUAUCCGGAUUUAUUGGGUUUAAAGGGAGCGUAGGCCGGAGAUUAAGCGUGUUGUGAAAUGUAGACGCUCAACGUCUGCACUGCAGCGCGAACUGGUUUCCUUGAGUACGCACAAAGUGGGCGGAAUUCGUGGUGUAGCGGUGAAAUGCUUAGAUAUCACGAAGAACUCCGAUUGCGAAGGCAGCUCACUGGAGCGCAACUGACGCUGAAGCUCGAAAGUGCGGGUAUCGAACAGGAUUAGAUACCCUGGUAGUCCGCACGGUAAACGAUGGAUGCCCGCUGUUGGUCUGAAUAGGUCAGCGGCCAAGCGAAAGCAUUAAGCAUCCCACCUGGGGAGUACGCCGGCAACGGUGAAACUCAAAGGAAUUGACGGGGGCCCGCACAAGCGGUGGAGUAUGUGGUUUAAUUCGAAGCAACGCGAAGAACCUUACCUGCUCUUGACAUCCCGCUGACCGGACGGUAAUGCGUCCUUCCCUUCGGGGCAGCGGAGACAGGUGGUGCAUGGUUGUCGUCAGCUCGUGUCGUGAGAUGUUGGGUUAAGUCCCGCAACGAGCGCAACCCCUGUACUUAGUUGCCAGCAUGUAGAGAUGGGAACUCUAAGUAGACUGCCGCGAAUAACGCGGAGGAAGGUGGGGAUGACGUCAAAUCAUCAUGCCCCUUAUGACCUGGGCUACACACGUGCUACAAUGGCGCAUACAAAGAGAAGCGACCUCGCGAGAGCAAGCGGACCUCAUAAAGUGCGUCGUAGUCCGGAUUGGAGUCUGCAACUCGACUCCAUGAAGUCGGAAUCGCUAGUAAUCGCGGAUCAGCACGCCGCGGUGAAUACGUUCCCGGGCCUUGUACACACCGCCCGUCACACCAUGAGAGUUGGGGAUACCCGAAGCCUGUGAGCCAACAUAUCUAUGAGGCAGCAGUCGAAGGUAGAAUCAAUGAUUGGGGUG